UGUCAAGAAUAGAAUGUACAGGAAAAUGUGUGAGAGGCUACUGCAGUGAGGCAAGCAGCAGUGGUGAUGGCUCAAACCAGAAAAGGACUGUGAAGGUGGUAAGAAGUUUACUUUUGGAUAGAUUUUGAAGGUAGUGCUAGUAGUGUUUACUGAUAGGUGGGAUGUGUGCAAGAGAAAGAGAAGUGUGAAAAUUAACCCUAGGCAUUUGGGCUGAGCAACUGGAAAGGUAGAGUUUCUUUGUAUUAAGACAGGAAAACUGUGGGUGGGGCAGAUUUCAGGAUUCAGUUUGGGGUAUGUGAAAUUUGAGAUGUUUAUCAAACAUUCAAGUGGAGAUAUUGAGGAUGUAGUUGGAUUUAAGAGUUUGGAAUUCCGGAGGAGUUCAGGAAAUAUGAGUCCAAGCUGGAGAUAAAGUCUGGGAGUCAUGGACAUAAAGAUGGUUUUUAGGUCAAUGGACUAGGUGAGAUCACAUAGGUGUAAGUGCAGGAAAAAGAGAGAGAGAGAGACAGAGACAGAGGCAGAGACAGAGAGUCCAGAGGGCUGAGGCAUUCCAACAUUACCAUGUCCACCAUGAGAAGAUGAAGACCUAGCAGAAAAGACUUAAUGGGAAUCCCUGAUCUGUGAAGACAAAGAUGUUGUCCUAUUCACAUGUUUACCCCCAGCCGUUACAGUAAUGUCUGGCACAUGGCAGACACUUAAGAUGAAAACCACUAUAAUCAGCGUCACCAAAAUAUGUCUUGGACAAGCCAUUUUAAUUUGAGGCACAUCAGACAACACUGCCCACCUCUACCAGGCCACGUGACUGAAACUACCCAGUGGAAUAUGGAUGGAGUAUUGCAUACUUGUGGACUUGUCCACAAAACCCUCCAACACAGAAUCCUCCAUACUCUUUCACCAUUAGCAGGCCAAAUGGAGAGGUUUCCAAGAAUGCAGAGGAGGGCAAAGCUACAUGAUGGGAGAAGCCUGGGUCACUGAAUCAUCCUCAGAGACAAGCUGUUUGGAGAGGAGCAUCUAAACAAACCUUAUUCUCUUAAGCCACUGAAAUUUUGGGGUUGUUGUUUACAUCGAUUAGCCUGCUCCAAUGAGGUAUGGACUUUGGGUCAAAUUGCCUGAGCUCAAAACCUCAUUUCAUCACCAGCUAUGCAACCCUGGACAAGCUACUUAGCCUCUAUGUGCUCCUGUUUCCUUAUAUGUGAUAUGGUGAUAGUAACAUUACAUACCUCACAGAGUAUUUGAGGAUAUUGAAUGAGGUAUACAGCUCUAUAAUAAACAUGGCAUAUAAGUUAUUACUACUUUAUUCCCAAAGAAGAAUUUCAUUUUAAGAUCAUAUCCAAAUAGGGGUCACCUGCAGAGCUUGGUAAAGUACUGUAAGUUGAUCUGUAAAAUGAGAAACUAUCCACAUAUAAUGUUCAACUUCAAGAGUGUCGAAUUUUCUAGAAAGAAAAUCAGGGAGGAGCGGAGGAGGAAAGGAAGGUAUGUAAUGAAGGAGGGAGAGAGUUAAGAAUGAAGACUUUUGUAUUUUAAGCAGCUUAUGUACUAACCCAACUUGCUAACAGGUCUGAUACAGCAAGAAAGGAAAUAUACCUCAGCAUUAGAUAGUUAAUGUGGAAAAAACUCAUUCUGGAAGCUGACCAACAUUUUCUCUUGUCAUUGUUCACGAUAGUAGCCUAGACCUAGCCUUUCUGCCUUGAGUACUGAGUAUAUUGAAUAUCUUCUCCCCCAAACCCAGCCUUGCUUUUUCUCUUUCAAUGACAAAUACUCUCUGGCUUUAUUCACAUGUCCUUACUUAUCUUGUAAAAGCAAACCAAACUGAAAUAUACCGGUAGCCCUUUGCCAUUUAGUAAGCUUUAUUCUAAGGCAUGGUGCCUAUAAAUAAAGCAAUUUGAUGCUAGAAAAAAAAAACCUCACCAAGUGCACAACUCUGUGCGUUUACAGUCUCUUCUAUAAAUAGAUGAAGAUUACAGGUUUUUAAAGUGAAUGAGCGACUACAGCAAAGAUUGUGUGAACUCGGAAAAAUGAGUGAAGCAUAAAAUAUACUGUAUGUAAUAGAAAUGGGUAUUUACUCAGUAGCAAUGACAACAAAGUUAAACACAAGAAAAUUAGUACUUUGAAGAUUUGGUAACAACGAACCAUGAAAUGCCCUGGUUUGUGUCCCUUUGGAGUUUCUCAGAAGAUACUGUUCACUAUGUAGACAAAUACGUGAAUAUAUGAAGUUGGCUAUUUAUUCGUUAAGAUGUUCUUCACUUUUAUGAAAGUGAGCUCCUAUUUUUCUGAAGUCUCCAAGGCACAAACAAAAAGAAACCUAUCUGUAGAGAAAGAAGAGCUUUUCUACUCCAAAAAUAAAUUGUGCCUAUUCUGAAAAGGGGGAAAAAAAGUAAAGGACUUAAAAAAAACACAACUAAAUGAGAUUUUCUGCAAAGUUACAAUGCCCAAGGACAGCCCUGAUUUGAUGCUUUAGCAAUUUACAUGGAAUUUUACUCUGGUGGUUUCUCUAAGGUUCCACAGAAACAAGCAACAAAACAAUAUGUUAUCUCUGAGUCAAAGAAACCAUUUUCAGAGCCUAGUGACUAUAGUUUCAAAAUUCUCCACUUCUAACAGUAUCAUAUGAGUGGACUAUAAAGAAAAAACUCUUUCAGUUUUGCAUGGUGAUUAAGUCGUGUGGGGCAUUUGGGGCUUUGAUUUAUCUUCCCAGAGGGUAUCUGGCUCAAAGAUCUUGUGUGGUACAGAGAAGGUGAGAAAACAAAGGGUAGCAUUUCACCAGCCUGUGCAGUUGGAUAAUUUCACUAAUACAGGCAGCCCAACUGGUGUGAGAGAUUAGGUCACGGGGUCUGGGGAUAUUUCGACAUUAAGAUGUACCAGUUCCACCAAUCAACCUCCAUAAUCAACACCUCUUAGAAGAUGAGUAUCAGUGACAUGAUCAUCUUCAAUAACAACGAAGCAAGAAACUCACUCUAAAUUAGUCCUAGAAUUCAUGAUAAAAGAAUGUGGUGUAGUCUUAGCAAUAAACAUAGAGAACAGAGAAUAUGGACAAUUACUGGGACAUGUUCUUUCAAUUAUGUGAAUCUUUCUGCACUUCAGUGUAGGGAUUUCUCUGACCAUAAGUAGAAUCAACACUAAUUGGAGCCUUAGGAUUCCAGGCAUAGACUUUUUCAGUAAGUCUUUUAUGCAUGUUUCCAGCUACCGUUUUGUUCUUUAAAAAAAAAUAGAAGUGGAAAAAGUAUUAGAGGAGACAUGAGGUAAGAAUUUGACUCUCAGUAUUGCCAUUAGUCUAUUUUAGAGCUGUGGACAAGUCACUUCACUUCUAUAGGUCUAUUUUUUUCAAGACAGAGGGGUUGGAUUGGCUAGUCUCUAAAGCCCCUUGAAGCUCUGAAAGUCUAAAAUACUUAACAAAGGCUAGAACUGGCUUCUUCAGUCACUGGAUCUAUGAAUACUAUUAAAAUGAUGAGGUCUUGACUUUUAAAAAUGCAGUUCAGGGAAAGCAUCUUCAUCCCCCUCAUGUCUCUGGGACUAUAAAUCACUUGUGCUAAGGCAUGCAAACACCUGACACUGGACGACAUGGUUUGUUCUUUGCAUUUGACAUGCCACAUUAAACGCUAGAUGGGUAUGCUAAAAAAAAUAAAUAAAUAAAUAAACCAUCUGA